rnacentral:tRNA from 1 species
GUAAGAGUGGCAGAGCCCGGUAAUUGCAAAAGGCCUAAGCCCUUUCAACGAGGGUUCAAGUCCCUCCUCUAACU